GUGGGGAAUAUUGGACAAUGGGCGAAAGCCUGAUCCAGCCAUGCCGCGUGUGUGAAGAAGGUCUUCGGAUUGUAAAGCACCUUAAGUUGGGAGGAAGGGCAGUAAGUUAAUACCUUGCUGUUUUGACGUUACCGACAGAAUAAGCACCGGCUAACUUCGUGCCAGCAGCCGCGGUAAUACGAAGGGUGCAAGCGUUAAUCGGAAUUACUGGGCGUAAAGCGCGCGUAGGUGGUUUUGUAAGUUGGAGGUGAAAUCCCCGGGCUCAACCUGGGAACUGCCUACAAAAAUGCAUGACUAGAGUACGGUAGAGGGUAGUGGAAUUUCCUGUGUAGCGGUGAAAUGCGUAGAUAUAGGAAGGAACACCAGUGGCGAAGGCGACUACCUGGACUGAUACUGACACUGAGGUGCGAAAGCGUGGGGAGCAAACAGGAUUAGAUACCCGUGUAGUCC
rnacentral:rRNA from 1 species